UCAUGUCGCGUGGCCACGCAUGGCACGUGUCAGCAUGUCAGCAUGCCUAGGUGUGUCGGCCGCCGUGGUGGUUGGCCCCCCCUUUGCCACCAUCGGAUGUCGCCCCUAGCCCCCCGCCGCCUCCAUCCGCCCUCAAAUCACUGGCCCUCGACGACCCCCCGGCCAUGUGCCAAGCGGUUGCUUUGAGUGUUGCCAUGGGUUGCGUGUUGCUGGAGGUGGUGGGUGUCCCUCGGAACGAUUGAUGCCACGAUGCCCAAUGGUGGUGCGACACCAUGGGGCAACAAGCUGACAAGUCCGGUCUCAAAGUGGCAUGCUAGGCCAUCGGUGUCGCCACCACCGUUGGCCAACAACGUGUUUUGGCUCGGAUGCUCUUCCAAAUAUUUUUGGGACUCAAAUAUCGAUUUUAAAAAAUAUUUUUAAAGAACUUUCUAUAUUUUUUGUAAUUAAAAAUAUUUUUAAAUAAUUAUUUUCGUAAUUAAAUUAAAAAAAAUAUUUUUCGUUAUCAAAAUUUUUUAAAAUUUUUUUCCUAAUGUUUGUUGAAUUAUUUCAUGGCUUUGUACAAAAAAUCAAGUCAAAAUAAUAAGUAUAUAUUUUUAAAACACCAAUUAUGACUCCUCAAAAUUUCCAAUGUUUCCUCCUGUCACUCAAAGGAUUGCUAAAAAUGCUAUUAUAGGGGGGGGCAGGUAGUCAGAAGGAUGGGGUGCCAAGGCCUACAGGCAAGCAGCACCCAUGCAGGCCAUGUGCAUGUCGCAUGGCCACGGAUGGCACGAUAGGUGCCUGUGCAUGGUCGAUUGUAUCACGAUGCUGCCGCAUAGCCACGCGAAGUGGAAUAGACGAUGUCGUGAUGCGUUGGGCCAUGCAUAGGCAUUUUCGAUCAUU